ACUGAGAUAGCUGGGUCAAAUGGUGGUUCCAUUUCAAGUUUUUUAAGGAAUCUCCAUACUGCUUUCCAGAUUGGUUGCACCAUUUUACAGUUCCACCAGCAAU
rnacentral:pre_miRNA from 1 species